rnacentral:rRNA from 1 species
UACGUAGGGUGCAAGCGUUAAUCGGAAUUACUGGGCGUAAAGCGUGCGCAGGCGGUUAUGUAAGACAGAUGUGAAAUCCCCGGGCUCAACCUGGGAACUGCAUUUGUGACUGCAUCGCUAGAGUACGGCAGAGGGGGAUGGAAUUUCGCGUGUAGCAGUGAAAUGCGUAGAUAUGCGGAGGAACACCGAUGGCGAAGGCAAUCCCCUGGGCCUGUACUGACGCUCAGGCACGAAAGCGUGGGGAGCAAACAGG